rnacentral:rRNA from 1 species
UACGAGGGGGGCGAGCGUUGUUCGGAAUUAUUGGGCGUAAAGGGUGCGUAGGCGGUUCCGCAAGUCCUGUGUGAAAUCUUCGGGCUCAACUCGAAGUCUGCACGGGAACUGCGGGCUUGAGUGUGGGAGAGGUGAGUGGAAUUCCCGGUGUAGCGGUGAAAUGCGUAGAUAUCGGGAGGAACGACCUGUGGCGAAAGCGGCGCACUGGACCAUAACUGACGCUGAUGCGACGAAAGCCUAGGGGAGCAAACAGG